UACGUAGGGUCCGAGCGUUGUCCGGAAUUACUGGGCGUAAAGCGUGCGCAGGCGGCUAUGCAAGACAGAUGUGAAAUCCCCGGGCUUAACCUGGGAAUGGCCUAUGUGACUGGCAGGCUAGAGGAUGGCAGAGGGAGGCGGAAUGCCACGUGUAGCAGUGAAAUGCGUAGAGAUGUGGCGGAACACCGAUGGCGAAGGCAGCCUCCUGGGCCAAUCCUGACGCUCAGGCACGAAAGCGUGGGGAGCAAACAGG
rnacentral:rRNA from 1 species